AGUCACCACUGAUAAGCUUCUACUAAAUACAUAUAAUGUAGAAACUUUCAUUUCCUAUGAAGCUGCUUUGCAACAAUUUGUAUCUUGAAAAGUACUAUACAAAUAAAUUGUGAAUUUUGAACUAAAAAAAUAUUUCAAUAGAAAAUAGGUAUUUUUUCACGAUUGAAAUUAUACUCUCUUACUGUAUUUUUAAUCAAUUAAAUGUAGCCUUGAUGAGGAGAAGAGACUAAAAAUAUUUUAAAAAAAUCUUAUGGGAAUCAAACUUUUAAAUGGUAAUGUAAAAGUUUAAACUAUAGUCUUUUCAAAGUGGACAUUUCUAAUUUCCUAUUUUCUUUACACAAUGGCAACUUUUUUUCUGAAGUAGUAGAAAGUAUUGUGGUUGUGUUUAUGUUCAAGUUAUUGAUCUUUUGUGGUAAAAAAGAAACCCUCUUAAACCAGCCUAAAGAGUUUAGCUGGUCUCCCAGCCUGGUUGAUCUGAUUAAGCCAGUCUGUUUUGAGGUUUUAGUGAGGUUUGGGGUGCUUCAGUUGGCCGGUUAAACCGAUUAAGACCAGCAAAACACUUUAGGCUUUGUUAAAUCAGUUUUUCUCAAGAGUCAAAUUAAGCUUGUCCAAAAUUGAAGUUGGAAACUGUUGCACAAUCAUCUUUUACAAACUUUAAGCUCUGUACACAUGCUUGUGUUUUGACAGAUCUCUGAGUUAAACGCUAAAUUGAAGCUGUGAUUUACGGAGGACACGUUGUCCCUGAAGAUUCAUGGCUUGUAUAAAACCCUCUCACGCAGCAGCUCCCGAGAGCCACGUAAAACAGACUAUUGGAGCUUUCAUGGCCUCCCCACUUCGUCUCACACAUACGGGUCAUUUCAUGUAGCGACACUGAGGUCGAGAGUUUGCUUUUAAAGAAAGCAAAAGCUGUCAAACGACAAUGGAUUAUCGAGGAGGCAGAUACGGUGGAAAAAACAACAUUAAGAGUGAUAAUUCAGGCUAAGAGGGAAUUACAUAACAUCUUAGACGUUUGCGGAUGGGAGGGGCUUCAGAAUCCCAUCUGUGCAGAAUUCAUCAGUGCAGAUGGGAAGCUGCCAGCAGCUCUGGAAGCACCAUCGGGACGGUGUGAAGAAGGCCACACAGUCACAGCCACAGCUGGAAAUGUGUUGAGCAUCUAAGCACGUUUAUAUAUCUGUCUGUCACCGUUCCGGGGAAUAAUAGUAUUCCAUGAGCUUACUAAAAGUCUCCAUCUGGAAUCCAUCUUUCAUGCAGCGCUGAGCUUCAUAUUCAAAUGAAGCUAAUUGUUGAUAUAAGAUUUUAUUGGUGUCCCCAAACAGCUCCUGCAUUUUUACUUUGGGUUUCACAGCAUCUUUCCCAGAGGAUGCAUUAUUAUUUAAAGAGAUGUAAUGCACUGUAAAGGCUCAUGGCUUGUUCUGUAUGUAUUUUCACAGGUUUCUUAAAGAUUCCCACAGAUGUGGGCUACAGUAAAAUAAACAAUAUCUGAACAAUAUCUACA
ensembl:lncRNA